ACACGACUCUCGGCAACGGAUAUCUCGGCUCUCGCAUCGAUGAAGAACGUAGCGAAAUGCGAUACCUGGUGUGAAUUGCAGAAUCCCGCGAACCAUCGAGUCUUUGAACGCAAGUUGCGCCCGAGGCCAUUUGGCCGAGGGCACGCCUGCCUGGGCGUCACGC
rnacentral:rRNA from 2 species